rnacentral:rRNA from 1 species
AUUGAACGCUGGCGGAAUGCUUUACACAUGCAAGUCGAACGGCAGCACGGACUUCGGUCUGGUGGCGAGUGGCGAACGGGUGAGUAAUGUAUCGGAACGUGCCCAGUCGUGGGGGAUAACGUAGCGAAAGGUACGCUAAUACCGCAUACGAUCUAAGGAUGAAAGCGGGGGAUCGCAAGACCUCGCGCGAUUGGAGCGGCCGAUAUCAGAUUAGGUAGUUGGUGGGGUAAAGGCUCACCAAGCCAACGAUCUGUAGCUGGUCUGAGAGGACGACCAGCCACACUGGAACUGAGACACGGUCCAGACUCCUACGGGAGGCAGCAGUGGGGAAUUUUGGACAAUGGACGCAAGUCUGAUCCAGCCAUUCCGCGUGCAGGAUGAAGGCCCUCGGGUUGUAAACUGCUUUUGUACGGAACGAAAAGGUCUCUCUUAAUACGGGGGGCUCAUGACGGUACCGUAAGAAUAAGCACCGGCUAACUACGUGCCAGCCGCCGCAGUAA